UACGUAGGGGGCGAGCGUUGUCCGAAGUUACUGGGCGUAAAGAGCGCGUAGGCGGUCCUUUAAGUGACUGGUGAAAUCCCCGAGCUCAACUCGGGAGGGUCUGGUCAUACUGGGGGACUGGAGUGUGGGAGAGGUGAGCGGAACUCCUGGUGUAGCGGUGAUAUGCGUAGAGAUCAGGAAGAACACCCGUAGCGAAGGCGGCUCACUGGACCACAACUGACGCUGAGGCGCGAAAGCCAGGGGAGCGAACGGG
rnacentral:rRNA from 1 species